UGAACGCUAGCGACAGGCCUAACACAUGCAAGUCGAGGGGCAGCGGGGAGGUAGCAAUACCUUGCCGGCGACCGGCGCACGGGUGAGUAACACGUAUGCAAUCCACCUGUAACAGGGGGGAUAACCCGGAGAAAUCCGGACUAAUACCCCAUAAUAUGGGCUCUCCGCAUGGAGGGUCCAUUAAAGAGAGCAAUCUUGAUUACAGACGAGCAUGCGCUCCAUUAGCCAGUAGGCGGGGUAACGGCCCACCUAGCCAACGAUGGAUAGGGGUUCUGAGAGGAAGGUCCCCCACAUUGGAGCUGAGACACGGUCCAAACUCCUACGGGAGGCAGCAGUGAGGAAUAUUGGUCAAUGGGCGAGAGCCUGAACCAGCCAAGUAGCGUGAAGGAUGAAGGUUCUAUGGAUUGUAAACUUCUUUUAUAAGGGAAUAACAGACGUUACGUGUAGCGUUUUGCAUGUACCUUAUGAAUAAGCAUCGGCUAACUCCGUG
rnacentral:rRNA from 1 species